CACGAAGUUAGCCGGGGCUUCUUCUCCCGCUACCGUCAUUAUCGUCGCGGGCGAAAGAGCUUUACAACCCUAAGGCCGUCAUCACUCACGCGGCAUGGCUGGAUCAGGCUUGCGCCCAUUGUCCAAUAUUCCCCACUGCUGCCUCCCGUAGGAGUUUGGGCCGUGUCUCAGUCCCAAUGUGGCUGGCCAUCCUCUCAGACCAGCUAUCGAUCGUCGCCAUGGUGGGCCGUUACCCCGCCAUCAAGCUAAUCGAACGCGGGCCAAUCCUUCGGCGGUCAAGCCUUUCCCCAAGCCUCGCGGCCAGGGCGUAUCCGGUAUUAGCGUCCGUUUCCAAACGUUGUUCCGAACCGAAGGGUAUGUUCCCACGUGUUACUCACCCGUCUGCCACUCCCGAUUGCUCGGGCGUUCGACUUGCAUGUGUUAAGCCUGCCGCCAGCGUUCGUUCUGAGCCAGGAUCAAACUCU
rnacentral:rRNA from 1 species